GCUGGCGUAGCUCAACUGGUAGAGUAGCUGACUUGUAAUCAGCAGGUUGCGGGUUCAAGUCCCAUCGCCAGCUCCA
rnacentral:tRNA from 1 species